rnacentral:rRNA from 1 species
UGGGGAAUUUUGGACAAUGGGCGAAAGCCUGAUCCAGCAAUGCCGCGUGUGUGAAGAAGGCCUUCGGGUUGUAAAGCACUUUUGUCCGGAAAGAAAUCCUUGGCUCUAAUACAGUCGGGGGAUGACGGUACCGGAAGAAUAAGCACCGGCUAACUACGUGCCAGCAGCCGCGGUAAUACGUAGGGUGCAAGCGUUAAUCGGAAUUACUGGGCGUAAAGCGUGCGCAGGCGGUUUGCUAAGACCGAUGUGAAAUCCCCGGGUUCAACCUGGGAACUGCAUUGGUGACUGGCAGGCUAGAGUAUGGCAGAGGGGGGUAGAAUUCCACGUGUAGCAGUGAAAUGCGUAGAGAUGUGGAGGGAAUACCGAUGGCGAAGGCAGCCCCCUGGGCCAAUACUGACGCUCAUGCACGAAAGCGUGGGGAGCAAACAGGAUUAGAUACCCUGGUAGUCCACGCCCUAAACGAUGUCAACUAGUUGUUGGGGAUUCAUUUCCUUAGUAACGUAGCUAACGCGUGAAGUUGACCGCCUGGGGAGUACGGUCGCAAGAUUAAAACUCAAAGGAAUUGACGGGGUCAUAGCUGUUUCCUG